GGGACGGAAGCUGGUCUCCCGUGU
rnacentral:snRNA from 1 species